UGACUUCAGUGAGUUCAAGACAACUGGGAAAAAACGAGCUCCGUCUGAGAAAAAUCGUUUUUCCAGGUUCCAAGUUCUCUUGAAACCUCUAUUAUAGCAAACUGGUGCUCGACGGCACAGUCUAUGACGUUGCACGCAACCAUUGGUUGAUGAAUGCAACGACUGAGGAGGGGAACUCGACCGAAAUUACGCUCAGUUUUAUAGCCUGCGUUUACACCAGCAGGUGUAUACGAUCGUGUUUAGUGGAAGCGCGGUGAGAUGAUCUACAGUGCGCGCGGGACUACACUCUGACCUACACACCAGCUGGCAUCUGCUAUAAAGAGGGACACUUUUGCAUGUACACAUAAAAAUAGUAUUUAUUACAUCUGCAGAAAACAUAACAAUUGUCAAGUGAACCUUAAAUAAUUCUACCAUCAUGGAACUUGACGCGUCUAUCAUUCUCCCUGCGCUCUUCUUUACCAUUCUUGCUGUUGUCUUGGCAGCCAAAUUCCUCCCCAAAAAACAACCAGAGGAGAAGAAGAAACGGGUUAAAGUAGGCAACAGAGACGACAUUCCUCCUGCCAGAGUAUUGACACCUGCAGUAGGAGUAGUGGAAGUACCAAAUGUGAAGGUACCCCCACAAGUGGUAGAAGCUGAAGUUAUAACCGAGCCAGUAACAGUUGCCCCAGUAGUUGAAGAGAUCCAUGUUGUAGAAGAAGAGACAGUUAAAGAGCCUGAAGUUAUCCCCGAGGCUGUGCCAGAGCCCGUGGUUGAGCCAGAACCCGUGCCUGAGCCCAUCCCUGAGCCAGAGUCCAUCCCAGUCAUUGUUGAGGAGCCCUUCCUUGAGCUCAUCGCCGAACCUGAUCCUGUAUCUGUGGUGAAGGAGGUCCCUGUCAGAGAGCCCACCCCUGAGCCAGCGAGGGAACCCAAGCCCAAGCCAGCGAGGGAACCCACCCCUGAGCCCAUCUUCGUGCCAGAGCCAGAGGACCUUGAGAGCAACGCUGAGGAGGUGCACUUUACCCCAGGAAUGAAGAUUAGCAAGUUGGAGAAGCUGAUGACCAAGGAGGAGAUGGAGGAGGAGCAGAGGAUAGAGCUCAUACCUGACUUUACCUCUCUAUAAGCAACAUCGACAAGCACACUGUGAGUUAGGAAGGAUUAUGGGUUAGGUAUCAUUAAACUUUAACCCCCGCAGAGCCUCUUAUCCUCUCCCAAGUCUAAAAAAUACCACCUCACCUCCCUCUCCUUGCUCCCCUCACCCACUACCUAGGGUGUGACACACUGUGUGACUGGCACUCCAUCACUGGUGAAGGGCAGAGCCAUAUACAGUACAUAUGUACAGUGCCUUUGGAAAGUAUUCACACCCCUUGACUUUUUCCACAUUUUAUUACAUUAAGCCUUAUUCUAAAAUGGAUCAAAUAAAUAAAAGUACAAUCUACACACAAUACCCCAUAAUGACAAAGUGAAAACAGUUUUUUUUAUUUUGUUGCCAAUAUAUAUAAAAAAAACAAGUAUUCAGACCCUUUGCUAUGAGACUCAAAAUUGAGCUCAGGUGCAUCCUGUUUCCAUUGAUCAUCCUUGAGAUGUUUCUACAACUUGAUGGCAGUCCACCUCUGGUAAAUUCAAUUGAUUGAACAUGAUUUGCAAAGGCACACACCAGUCUAUAUAAGGUCCCACAGUUGACAGUGCAUGUCAGAGCAAAAACCAAGCCAUGAGGUCGAAGGAAUUGUCCGUAAAGCUCCGAGACAGGAUUGUGUCAAGACACAGAUCUGGGAAAGGGUACCAAAAAAUGUCUGCAGCAUUGAAGAUCCCCAAGAACACAGAGGCCUCUUAAAUGGAAGAAGUUUGGAACCACCAAGACUCUUCCUAGAGGUGGCAGGCCAGCCAAACUGAGCAAUCGGGGAGAAGGGCCUUGGUCAGGGAGGUGACCAAGAACCUGAUGGUCACUCUGACAGAGCUCUAGAGUUCCUCUGUGGAAAUGGGAGAAACUUCCAGAAGGACAACCCUCUCUGCAGCACUUCACCAAUCAGGCCUUGGUAGAGUGGCCAGACGGAAGCCACUUCUCAGUAAAAGGCACAUGACAGCCCGCUUGGAGUUUGCCAAAAGGCACCUAAAGACUCUCUGGUCUGAUAAAACCAAGAUUGAACUCUUUAGCCUGAAUGCCAAGCGUCACUUCCGGAGGAAACUUGGCUCCAUCGCCACAGUGAAGCAUGGUGGUGGCAGCAUCAUGCUUUGGGGGUGUUUUUCAGCAGCACGGACUAGGAGACUAGUCAGGAUCGAGGCAAAGAUGAAGAGAGCAAAGUACAGAGAAAUCUUUGAUGAAAAUCUGCUCCAGAGCGCUCAGGACCUCAGACUGGGGCGAAGGUUCACCUUCCAACAGGACAACGACCCUAAGCACACAGCCAAGACAACGAAGGAGUGGCUUCGGGACAAAUCUAUGAAUGUCCUUGAGUGGCCCAGUCAGAGCCCGGACUUGAACAUGAACGAACAUCUCUGGAGAGACCAGAACAUUUUUCAAAUAUAAAAAAAAACUGUUUUUCCUUUGUCGUUAUGGGGUAUUGUGUGUAGAUUGAGGAGGGAAAAAAACAAUUUAAUACAUUUUAGAAUAAGGCUGUAACGUAACAAAAUUUGGAAAAAGUCAAGGGGUCUCAAUACUUUCCGAAGGCACUGUAUAUAUGGCUCUGGUGAAAGCAGUGUGUAUCGAUGCAUUCACCCAUUUACUGAUUACACUAGUAUGACAUCACCAACAGUGUACCUUGCCACCAGGCGAUUGGGCUGUAGGCUAUUGUUUUUUUGUUUUUGAAGGGACCUGUUAGCCACUGAUAGGCUUCCACUGAUGUGGUAGAGCACACAUCUGGGUCUGAUAGGGCACAUUCUGGCAGAGCUUGCUUUAUCCUUUCUAUUCUACACUUUCUGUUUGAUCCCCGCCAACGACCACCAGAACUACAGUGCAUUCGGAAAGUAUUCAGACCACUUCCCCUUUUCCACAUUUUGUUACAUUACAGCCAUUCUAAAAUGUAUUAAAUCAUUUAUUUCCCUCAUCAGUCUACACACAGUACCCCAUAAUGACAAAUCGAAAACAGGUUUUUAGACAUUUUAGCUAAUUUUUAUUUUAAAAUAAAAACAGAAAUACCUUAUUUACAAUUUAAUCAAUUUUAGAAUAAGGCUGUAACGUAACAAAAUGUGAAAAAAGUUAAGGGGUCUGAAUACUUUCCAAAUUCACUGUACGUCACUUCCCUCCCCCAUCUCUCCAUCUACGUCCCCCUGUGUCUUCAGACAGUCUAAUAUCCUGGAGCUUCAGGUUCUAUAAAUAUACAGUUAAUAGUUAUCAUAUGCUGCUGUCUCACGGCCAUUGAAAACAAAGGGCCCUGCGAUCAUGGGAAAUACUGCACUGGGGCACCAAUGUGGGUCAUCAUCAGUGCUGCAGGGGAGACCCCCCACCACCUUCUAUUGAGAUGACAUCUGUGAGGAAUCAUUCACUAAGGCACAUUCUUUACCUCUUAAUGCUGGUGCCAGAGGGGAAUCCAUUUGGAAUUGGUUGGCGGUGCGUGACACCUGCUAACCAAUUGGCUGAGAGAGAAUCAGUUACUCACUUACUGCACAAACAAAAUGGCUGCCGUGAUAGUAUUCAAGUUUUCAAAUUUAGUGGUUGGGUGGGACUUUUAUCAGAACCACUCUGAUUUUAGGAGCCACCUGCAAAAUUAGAACUAAUCUUGUGCCAACAGCUGCGCUUGUACACACUCAGGGGACCGUGCAGAGAGCAGUUUUGAAGUUGAAUUAUAGCUGAGCCCUGAACCUUAGACCUUUGCUGCUAUACCAUUGUGCCCUCUGCAGGCGAUAUUGAGGUAGUGAGACACUUAAAUUGGGGAUUUUUUUUACUGUGUCUGUGUGAGCUGAAAUGCUUUCAUUAUAAUUGCAUUUUUAUUCCACUCUGUUGAGAAAAGGUUUGAGGAACAGGCCUUAUUUUACCAUGAUAUGUUUUGCCAUGAUAUGUUGCCAAGUCAGAGUGUCAGACAGUUAUUCAAGAUUGUAUAGUGUAUACCUAAUGCACUGCCAGAUAGCUAAUAGCUAGAUGGUGACAGCAUUUGAUCAGUGUAGCCUGAAAAGGCAAAUCAGGCCACUAUUUGCAAGCCAAGUUUAUUGUCUCUACUUUACAAAUAAAGAUCAACAUUAUUAGUGCAAUAAGGCUGACUCACUGGAAUAUAGGUAUCUUUCCCAACAUAUGUUUUGCUCAUAAACUGUUUAUGUUCAGCCUACCAGUGUCUGUAGGUCUAUCUAGAAUGUGUAUUACUGUAUGCCUGUCCUAUCUCCAAUUACAACAUUGUUACAUCUAGGGGCAACAUAGACCCAGGGGUAGACGUAACAUAGUAAAUGUAAAUAGAGUGUCCCGAGUGUGUCUAUGUAAAUAGAGUGUCCCGGAUUUAAUUUGUAAAUGUCCACAAUCCAUUUAGUAUGAUAUGUUACGAAUUUUAAUUCAUAUGUUAUGUUGCGAAAUUGCUAUUUGUUGUGGAUAACGUUAGCUAGGUGGCUAACGUUAGCUAGCCAAAAGGUUAGGGUUAAGGUUAGGUUUAGGAAUUAGGUUAAAGGGUUAGGGUUAGGAGAAGGGUUAGCUAACAUGCUAAGUAGUUGCAAAGUAGCUAAAAAGUAGUAAGUAGUUGCAAAGUUGCUAAUUAGCUAAAAUGCAAGAGUUGUCGCUGAGAUUUGAAAACGUGACCUUUGGGUGGCUAGACAUUCUCGUUAUACUCCGACCCAUCCACUCCGGCCAACAACCUUACUUUCGUUUUUGCCUUAACUAACCUUUUACUGCAGUGGGCUAAAUCAGGGUCACACAGAUUGUUUAUUGGUAGCCUUAAACAAAACUACUUUGACACCAAAGUUUGAAAAAAUAUAUUUAACCUUUAUUUAACAAGGCAAGUCAGUUAAGAACAAAUUCUUAUUUACAAUGACGGCCUACUGGGAACAGUGGGUUAACGGCCUUGUUCAGGGGCAGAACGACAGAUUUUUACCUUGUCAGCUCGGGGAUUCGAUCAGUUACUGGCACAACGCUCUAACCACUAGGCUACCUGCCGCCCCAAAAUAUACACCUCACACACAUUGUUAUGGGCUUAAAAAAGAAGACACCUGUACCAUGUCAGAUAUAGAGUUGAAAUGUAUAAGUUUUGAGUUUGCAUCCCAAUAUUGCACUUUAAAUACAUCACAGAAGACUGAAGUAUAUCAAAACCGUUUGACAAAGAAAUACCAGAUUUUCAGGUUAUUAAUUAUGAAAAAUAUUAAUAACAUUCCACCCAUGAGGCCACUAUUCAUUUGACUGCAGGAAAUGGCUACAGCAUUUGCAGACUGUCUGUCAGAUUCAGUCUUUAACGAUUAUCACGGUACACUGUGCGACGUUACCAAAUUAAAAUCUUGAUAUCAACCUGGCCAGAUUGUAUGAUUUGCUUCAGUUCUGUCGUCACAUUCUGCAAUUUGCCUGCAGCGGUGUAUUUGAUCUCAAUGCUUAUGCGUGAGUUCUGAAUAAAUUCAAGUAGGCAUCUUAGAAAUAGUUUUCAAAUACAAACGUUAUAUGUCCUAACAAUUAAUUUGAUUGGCGAUUUUGUGCUUUUAUCGAAAUCCCACCAGGUAGCCUAAUUUCAGAUGUGUCAUAUAAACAAGAUUAUUUACAGGGAAAUCGUUCUUCUUACACAGCACGUAGGCUAAACAUUUAAUUCAAACUACUAUAUUAAUCUGACUAUUCACAAUCAUUUUAUUGUUGUGUGUGUACUCAAUGGCGGCCGUCUUCUUAUUGGUCAGUCACUGGGAUCAGCUCAUAACACCAGCCACACUACGCGAUAAAGGACAAAAUAUGUGGACACCACUAGAACUUUGUCGGAGCCUACGAUUGCAUGUAGCGGUACUUAAUCGGCACUUAAUCGGCAGACCUAGACCCUGUCACACUGAACGAGCCAAGAUGUCCGACAAUCGUUUACUACCUAAGAAUUUGUCCACAACGUGGAAAUUUUGUCUGGGACGGCAAAGUCGUGGCAUAAAACGGCCGAAAUUGUACAGUCUGCAAAGGACGUACGAAACAUAACAUAUCAUACCAAGUGGAGUGUCCCAGAUAUACAUUUACUAUGUUACGUCUAGUCUGAGACCAGGCUGCUAGGGGAGGAAUGCUUGUUUCAAUAGAUAAUUGUUCAGCUGUCACAUUCACAUGCCUGCUGCAGCUAUUAGAAUGCAUAUGAUAAUCUGGACUCUUUGUUACAUUGCACUAAUUAGGACAUACUAACCUUUGAAAUGGCAUGCAUCUCACACAUUGCCAUCUAACCUGCCUGGGAACUCUGUGGUGCUCCGGGGUGAAGUUUCUCCCAGGUGCAGAUCUAGGAUCAGCUUCCCCUCUCACAACCCUAAUUAGUAAGGAACAUGCAAAACUGACCCAAAAUCAGCAUCUAGGGGCAACUUCACCGUACACCAGUUGGAGGUGGUGGGGGAGGGGGAUAUGUGGUGGUGGGGGGUAUUCUAUGGUGGUAUGCUAUUUUCCGGGUGUGUUUUGAUCAACCUUUGGUUAGAGCACUGUCUGCUUUAGGUUUCUUGAAACCUACUAAACCCUGAUGCAUGCUGAAAUAACAACCCUGACAAUGCUGAGUAGGCGAUGAAGAAAAGGAAUGACUCUACACCCACACCUUUCUAUUCUUGGUUUUGUGAAAAGUGAUCACUAAAGAAGAACCUUUGAAACCUCUGCUGAGAAGAGCGAUCUCUUCUGUUGAUUGUCCAGCAACUUUGCUGUUAAUAUGGAAAAUAUAUGUUGCUUUUUGUCCUCUCCCCUCUUCUUUUCUUCAUCCUUUUUUGAAGGAUGGGAAUUAAAGGCUAUUGCUCAACUCUGCCUGUGAAUAGCACGCUGCAUUACACCAAACACAAGUGCCUAUGUGAAUCUUUAGUCCCCGCCCCCUUCGCUUUCUAUCUGCUGUCUUACUGGCGGCGUCUAUCCUUUGAUUAGAGCAGGAAUGAUUCAUUCUGAAUUCUGAGACUCUGAUAGUCACUAAGGAACGUUUGACAAUAAUACAUCAAUGCUUAUUACAGAGUAUGACGUGUGGGGUUUGCAAAAAAAGUUCCCGAAAAAAGUAAGGUUGGGAACCACUGGUUUAGAAGAAAUGGAUGACCAUUGCAAUACCAAUACAGUAAGGAAGUGUUUAAAUAGCUAUUAUGGGUGAAGGGGUAGGGAAGGGUUGUGUUGUUUUUCAUUGUUUUAAAAUGUGAAACUGUGAUUUAAAGCCAAGACAAGUAAUUUGCAUGCAAAGGCCCCCUCUACCCAAGUCUUGGUCUGUGUGGCCACUGUCCAUUGUGAGCAAGUCCCAGACACUAAGUAAUGUAACAAAUGCCAAUCAGUAACAUCCGAAUAGCCUAAUGAUGGUAUUCUGAAUGCUGAGGAAACCAUAUAUCUCACUCCUGUCCUGACUCUGACGAUCAUUGGGGCUUUUGUCACUUUAUAAGUAUGUAACCAAUGCACACUGACAAUGAAUGGGCUUCUUUUCAUAUGGGACUGGAGCUCGGUUGUUAGAAUGGCUAAAGUGGAAAAUGUGUAUGACAACCCGUAGUGAUUUUUGUAGAGAGAUUGAAAUGUUUUGUUUAAACAUGACGUUUUUGGGCUUUUAAACUCUUGACUAUUAAAAGCCAGUUUGUCUAAAACCAA